AAACUAACAAGGAUUCCCCUAGUAACGGCGAGUGAACCGGGAAGAGCUCAAAUUUGAAAUCUGGCGUGCUCAGUGCGUCCGAGUUGUAAUCUAUAGAGUCGUUUUCCGUGCCGGACUGUGUCCAAGUCCCUUGGAACAGGGUAUCAAAGAGGGUGAUAAUCCCGUACUUGACACAAUGACCGGUGCUCUGUGAUACGUCUUCUACGAGUCGAGUUGUUUGGGAAUGCAGCUCAAAAUGGGUGGUGAGUUCCAUCUAAAGCUAAAUAUUGGCGAGAGACCGAUAGCGAACAAGUACCGUGAGGGAAAGAUGAAAAGCACUUUGGAAAGAGAGUUAAACAGUACGUGAAAUUGUUAAAAGGGAAACGAUUGAAGUCAGUCGUGACUGAGAGGCUCAGCCGGUUCUGCCGGUGUAUUCCCCUCAGUCGGGUCAACAUCAGUUUUGUUCGGUGGAUAAGGGCAGUUGGAAGGUGGCACCCUCGGGUGUGUUAUAGCCAGCUGUCGCAUACAUCGGAUGAGACUGAGGAAUGCAGCUCGCCUUUAUGGCCGGGGUUCGCCCACGUUCGAGCUUAGGAUGUUGACAUAAUGGCUUUAAACGACCCGUCUUGA
rnacentral:rRNA from 1 species